rnacentral:rRNA from 1 species
UACGGAGGAUGCAAGCGUUAUCCGGAAUGAUUGGGCGUAAAGGGUCCGCAGGUGGCAGUGUAAGUCUGCUGUCAAAGAAUGAGGCUUAACCUCAUCAAGGCAGUGGAAACUACACAGCUAGAGUACGGUCGGGGUAGAAGGAAUUCCUGGUGUAGCGGUGAAAUGCGUAGAGAUCAGGAAGAACACCGGUGGCGAAAGCGUUCUGCUAGACCUGUACUGACACUGAGUGACGAAAGCUAGGGGAGCGAAUGGG